GACGAACGCUGGCGGCGUGCCUAAUACAUGCAAGUCGAGCGGACCACUUCGGUGGUCAGCGGCGGACGGGUGAGUAACACGUGGGCAACCUGCCUGUAAGACUGGGAUAACACCGGGAAACCGGUGCUAAUACCGGAUAAUCCUUUUCUUCACAUGAAGGGAAGCUGAAAGACGGUUUCGGCUGUCACUUACAGAUGGGCCCGCGGCGCAUUAGCUAGUUGGUGAGGUAACGGCUCACCAAGGCAACGAUGCGUAGCCGACCUGAGAGGGUGAUCGGCCACACUGGGACUGAGACACGGCCCAGACUCCUACGGGAGGCAGCAGUAGGGAAUCUUCCGCAAUGGACGAAAGUCUGACGGAGCAACGCCGCGUGAGCGAUGAAGGCCUUCGGGUCGUAAAGCUCUGUUGUCAGGGAAGAACAAGUACCGGAGUAACUGCCGGCACCUUGACGGUACCUGACCAGAAAGCCACGGCUAACUACGUGCCAGCCGCCGCCGUAAAAC
rnacentral:rRNA from 1 species